UGAGUAACCUGCCCUUAACUCUGGGAUAAGCCUGGGAAACUGGGUCUAAUACCGGAUAUGACUCCUCAUCGCAUGGUGGGGGGUGGAAAGCUUUAUUGUGGUUUUGGAUGGACUCGCGGCCUAUCAGCUUGUUGGUGAGGUAAUGGCUCACCAAGGCGACGACGGGUAGCCGGCCUGAGAGGGUGACCGGCCACACUGGGACUGAGACACGGCCCAGACCUCCGUACGGGGAGCAG
rnacentral:rRNA from 1 species